AUAAUCAUUUGCCUUUUAAUUGAAGGCUAGAAUGAAAGUACUGACGGGGGGCCGCUGACUCGACCUUGCCAGACGAACUUGACUGCGGGGUUAAAAUGCCUCGAUGCUCUAGAAGGACGACAAGACCCUAUAAAACUUCACUACCCCCGGUUGCCACCCCAAGGUCACCUGCAAAGCCGAAUGUAGUUUAGCUGGGGCGGCCAACCCCCUCCGGGACCGUAACCAAACACCGUGCGUGAUCCCUUGAACAUUAUUAAAUAGGAAGACCAAGUUACUUUAGGGAUAACAGCGCAAUAAUUUCGAAGAGCCCCUAUCGAUGAAAUUGGUUGCGACCUCGAUGUUGAAUUGGAGCCCCCCCCGGAGCAGCCCCCGGGGAAAGGAGGUCUGUUCGACCUUUAAUCCUCCACGUGAU
rnacentral:rRNA from 1 species